rnacentral:rRNA from 1 species
UGGGGGAUAUUGCACAAUGGGCGCAAGCCUGAUGCAGCGACGCCGCGUGGGGGAUGAAGGCCUUCGGGUUGUAAACUUCUUUUGCUCUGAACAAGGCGCACUUUGGGGUGUGUUGAGUGUAGGGGUUGAUUAGCGCCGGCUAACUACGUGCCAGCAGCCGCGGUAAUACGUAGGGCGCGAGCGUUGUCCGGAAUUAUUGGGCGUAAAGGGCUUGUAGGUGGCUGUUUGCGUCUGUCGUGAAAGCUCAUGGCUUAACUGUGGGUUUGCGGUGGGUACGGGCUGGCUUGAGUGCAGUAGGGGAGGCUGGAAUUCCUGGUGUAGCGGUGGAAUGCGCAGAUAUCAGGAGGAAUACCGGUGGCGAAGGCGGGUCUCUGGGCUGUUACUGACACUGAGGAGCGAAAGCAUGGGGAGCGAACAGG